UACGUAGGGGGCAAGCGUUGUCCGGAAUUAUUGGGCGUAAAGAGCGCGUAGGCGGUCCGGUAAGUCGGUUGUGAAAGUCGGGGGCUCAACCCUCGGAUGCCGAUCGAUACUGUCGGGCUAGAGUCCGGAAGAGGCGAGUGGAAUUCCUGGUGUAGCGGUGAAAUGCGCAGAUAUCAGGAAGAACACCCGUGGCGAAGGCGGCUCUCUGGUACGUGACUGACGCUGAGACGCGAAAGCGUGGGGAGCAAACAGG
rnacentral:rRNA from 1 species